rnacentral:rRNA from 1 species
GACAGAGGUGCCAAGCGUUAGGCGGAAUCACUGGGCUUAAAGCGUGCGCAGGCGGUUUUGUAAGUCUGUCGUGAAAUCCCCGGGCUCAACCUGGGAAUUGCGAUGGAGACUGCAAGGCUAGAAUCUGGCAGAGGGGGUAGAAUUCCGCGUGUGAGCAGUGAAAUGCGUAGAGAUGCGGAGGAACACCGAUGGCGAAGGCAGCCCCCUGGGCUAACACUGACGCUCAGGCACGAAAGCGUGGGGAGCAAACAGG